UCUGUGUUACUGUCUGUUGGUCUUUGUCUGGUCACUACUGCUGCAGAUGCUGAAGGAGAAGGACGAUGAUGCUUGGGAUGGGGGUGUUUCAGAUGGAUCUGGCCUUCCUAAUGCAUCAGUCUGCAUAGAUGUCUGUGAUGUUGCUAGCUCGUGGCCCGUGAUGGACUGUGCUGUCUUCACCAUCCUCUGUAGCCAUGCAGCCAGUGAGAAUACUCUGAAUGCAGCAUCUGUAGAUUGUCAGAAUUAGCGCUGACAUGCCAGACAUCAUGAGCUCAUGGGGAAAAGCAGCCUCCGCUGUGCUUUCUUGACCACAGUGCUAAAAUGGAGAUGCAGUUGCAUGCCGUUCUGCCAUCUUGAUGUGUCUGCGCACCUCCUCUACUGAAGAGACUGUCCGCAGGAAGUCAGACGCGUCUCAAAUUGUCUGGCCACAUGAAGUCAAGAUGAACCAGGAUUUACAAUCCUUUUUAUUUCCACACUGUGACAUGUUUCUGAGUGAAACACAAUAUUCAACAAGAACACAGUUUGGGAUAUGUUGACACAGUCUUACCACAAGAAGGAAGUCAUUUGAAACAUCAUGAGGAUUGACAGUGCAUGGCAGACUAUUGCUGAACUGUCAGUUUCAGGACCAUCUUCCAUAAAUCGCACAGAUUCUGCCCUUGAUCCACACGUUUGUGCCAUAACUUGUUCUUCCACAUCAGCAGCUGGAGCAGGGUUUGGGUUUAUAUGAGAUAUUUUUCAGUGUUUGUACACUUGAAAUGUCAAAACGGUUUGAUUCUGUGCUAGAAUCAGAAUCAGGAUGAGUUUUAUUGCAUCAUCUGCACAAUAUAUUUGUCUUGCUUUCAGUGGACUGAGAACAACAAGACAUGACAAAUUCUAAAGUUGAAAACAAAAAUAUGAAUAGAAAUGCACAAUAUGACAUUAAGGCUGUAGAUUAGCAUGUGCAUUUUUGGCAAGAAGGACUAAUGUGCAAAAGUACAGGUAUUUAAAUAAAUAUGUUUUAGAUUAAGAUUGUG